rnacentral:misc_RNA from 1 species
GAGUCGUUCGGUCAAAGCGCGUUCAGCGCUAGUUCUGAGCAGAUAGGGUUCGAAAACCCAUUGCCCCCAACGUAUUCUGCUUCCCCGAGAUCGGGCAGGCAAUCGAGGGCUGCGACAACUGCACGACGUGUGAGUGCCGCAGAACGCGAUCGUCGCCUAGGGGUUCACCCGGAGCUACACCGCGCAAACGGAUAGCACCGAGGUGAACGGUAUAUAUUUCGACAAAUGAAUUCCAUCGGUAUAGGUAUGCAACACAGGAAACCGCAAAAGGUGGACGAGGCUAAUGUCGCUCUCGCA